UUUUAGUAUGUUUUACUUCUCCAAAAUCAUUUACUUUCAAUACAAACCUCGAAUAGACGAGUAGAUAAUUGUUUAAGCCAUUUGGUUUGAAGUUCACAAUUUUCCCACAUUCUGUUUCAGUAUCUUUAAGAAAUUGGCAAAAAGCGGAGAAAAUUUUUCCGUGGAGUCUUCAGAACUAUUUUCAAGUCACCAAUUCUCCAACUGCCUCUCUUUUCUAUAUUCAUCCAAAGAUUCAUACACACUUCGUACAUUUUGGUAUCUCCAAGAUUCCCUAAUUUCUUGUUGAACAAAGAAUGCUUCUUUUCAUCAAUCCGAGGAAUGUCAAGCAGUUAAUCAAAUAUCAUCAACGUACUAAUCGUCUUUCUAUUGUUUUUGAAUCAACCACUCAGUCCUGUCUUUCCAUCAAGAACAACCAAGAGAUCGAGAGAAUCACCAAAAUAAUAAAUGACCACCCCUUUCCUGAAAUUCCUCUGCAACCUAUCCUCUUUCAGCAUAUUCUUCCUUCCAACCUAUCGGCUAGCUUUGUGGAGGAUGUUCUUGGCCGCCUAUUUUCAGCAAAUACUAAUGGUGUUAAAGCUUUUGAGUUCUUCAAAUUCUUCCUUCAGUAUUCCAACUUACCUCCCUCUUCCGAUGCAAUUGAAAAAACUCUGCACAUUCUAGCAAGAAUGCGAUACUUUGAUAAAGCCUGGGAGUUGAUGGAAGAAAUCGUCAAAAUAGAUCCUUCCUUGCUGACUCUCAAGUCAAUGAGUAUUGUCUUGUCAAAAAUUGCAAAACACCAGUCCUAUGAAGAUACACUUGCUGCAUUUAAUAGGAUGGAGAAGAGCAUAUUUGUUGGAAGAAAAUUUGGAGUUGAAGAAUUCAAUGUACUGCUUCGUGUAUUUUGCACCCAAAGACAGAUAAAGGAGGCAAAAUCUGUAUUCAGUAAAAUGUAUUCACAAUUCCCGUCAAGCACCAAGACCAUGAACAUCUUGCUCUUGGGUUUUAAGGAAUCUAGAGAUAUAACUUCAGUUGAAUUAUUCUACCAUGAAAUGGUGAAGAGAGGUUUCAAACCUAAUUAUAUUACAUACAACAUCAGAAUUGAUGCUUAUUGCAAAAGGCGCUGCUUUGAUGACGGAUUGAGACUCCUUCAAGAGAUGGAACUUAGAAAUUGCAUGCCAACAUUAGAAACAAUCACUACUUUGAUCCAUGGGGCAGGCAUUGCUAGAAAUGAGAUUCGAGCAUGGGAGUUAUUCAAUGAACUACCCAAAAGAAAGCUAUACCCUGAUGUUGGAGCUUAUAAUGCAAUGAUAAGCGUUCUUGUCAAGUGCAGAAAGAUGGACACCGCGAUCAACUUGAUGAAUGAAAUGGAAGAUAAGCUUAUUGAUCCUGAUGGCAUAACCUACCAUACUUUGUUCCAUGGAUUGAUGAAGUCAAGUGGUAUUGAGGCGGUUAGAGGUUUCUACCAAAAAAUGGUAAUGAAGAACUUUGUUCCAGAGACACGUACAGUGGUGAUGCUAAUGAAAUUCUUUUGUGGAAACCGCCAUGUGGAUUUAGCUGUAAAUUUGUGGAACUACUUGAUGGAGAAGGGUUAUUGUCCGCAUGAUCAUGCAUUGGCUCUUUUAGUGACAAGUUUAUGUUCACGUGGACAGAUUCAAGAAGCUUUCGAGUAUGCUACACAGAUGUUAAAACGAGGUAGGUAUAUAGGCCAACCUGUGCACCAUAUGUUAGAGAGAUUUUUGCGGGAAGCAGGUGAAUUUGAUAAGCUAAGGAACCUCGAAGAGAUGACAAAGAAGUUAGGCAGUGUUUAUCCCCAACAUGGUUUUGGACUUUUUGCUUCGUUGUAAUAUAUAAAUUUGGCACUCCAAUGUAUUUUGUGGAGUGUAUUCGCGAAAUCAAAUGUUAUAAAUUGUGGAACCUUCCAUUUGGUGCAAGUUAAGAGUGCUGUUUGAACUAGGAAUAAAAAGAUAAUUAAAUGACGAUUGAAGGCUAAAGGGUGAUGUGAGAUACUAUGCUGAAUCUGUUUAGGGAUUCUAUUGGGGAGAGCUAUGGGUUAGAAAAGUCAAUGAUUUUUAUAUCAAUCAGGUCAUGUUUGCCUUUGCCUUGGGCUAUGCUUAUCUACUGUCUGCAGAGUGUGUUACUACUGGAUGCUUGAGUAACAAUUUGAUUAGAAGGACUAGGACCUGGAUUCAUCAGUGGAGAAAUGAUAUGACAAAUGAAAAACUUCUUGGGAGAUAAUUGCUGCUUGGGUGUAGUAUAAAGAGCUACUUGGGUUUUGCUUGGUUGAGAUGCUGUUGUAGCCCACUUGUUGCAGACUGUUAGUACGUGGGUCGCAUUUAGCUGCUAUCUGAAAUUAGACAGCUGCUGCUACUAUAGUGCGACUAUCUUGGUGAUGAUGGAUAGAAUUAUAUCUCUUGCUAUUUCUAUGUGAAGACGUCCUCUUACUGAUCAUGUAGAAUCCAAAGGAGACUACGCCAACAAGUUGAUCCUCUGAGUUAACAAUAGAAGUUGAUGGAUCAGUUCCUGUGAGGUUGAAGGGUAAAGUUGCAAUAAUAACAGGGGGUGCACGAGGCAUAGGAGCUGCCGCAGUAAAACUCUUUGCCUUAAAUGGGGCACAUGUAAUUGUGGCUGACGUACUUGACGAACUUGGCAUCAACCUCGCUAACUCCA